rnacentral:tRNA from 1 species
AUUUAUAUAGUUUAAUAAAAACAUUACAUUUUCAUUGUAAAAUUAGACAAAUUAAUCUUAUAAAUA